AAGAAAAAAAAAACUAAUAAACUUAACAAAUUUUCAACCAUAAUAAAUGAAGAUCUUGAAAGGGGAUUAUAGACAUAAAAUUACUUUUGAAGGAAGUUAACUAAAGAAGACUAUAAUAUCUUGUUAUCAAAUAUCAAUCUACAUUUAGCAAAAAAAAAAGCACAGUAAAAAAAUAAUUAUACAGAUAAUACCAAUUAAUUAGAAAUUGUGUUAAUUCUCUUAUUAUGUUUAUUUAGGUCUAAUAGUUUCAUGGAGUUUUAUUGGUAUACUAGAAUUCAUAUUGACAAUUGGGAAUAUAGAAAAACUAGUACUUUUCAUUUUUAUUUUGUAAAAUGUUGAAAUAAAAUGAAUUCAAGCAAAUAAUAUAAUCAGUAAGAAUUCAUAUGGUUAAAUAUAAUUGUUUUGGGACUGAGGCAUAAGUUUACUAGUUGAUAAGAACUCAUGACCCAACGAUAAGAUCACUCGAAGAUAUCUACACAGAAUAAGUCGAGAUUAUUACCUUGAUUAUGAGAUAAUAAGCUCAGGGCGGAGCCACCUAAUUUUAUAUAUUAUAUAUAUGAAAUAAUAGUUUAAUUUGAAACUUGACAGCAAAUAACACCGGAUUGAUACUUCCUAAAAACGUGAUUUACAAUUUUUAGGCCUCACUAGUCAUGACUACUUGCCAAUAAUAUAGACGUUGUAGAGUAAGAAAUCACUGACUUCUACUAAAUAUUUCAAACUUCAAUAGUGAUAUUUUAGAAUGGUUAAUUUCUCAAGAGCUAUAUUAUAUUUAUAAGAUUUUUAAAAACAAAGACAAUUUUAAUAGAGACCUUAAAAUCAGACAUUUUCAUAAGUCAGUUUAAUAUAAAAGAGAAGUAUUGAAAUAUCUCUGAACUUGACGCAGAUCAUUAGUUUCUUUUUCGAACUAUUGACAGCCAUAAAAACACCCCUCUAAUUGACUAACUAAAUUUAGAUACACCCCUAAAGUGCAAGCAAGUGAUCUCAAACUCUUGUAUGAGCAUGAGACUCUUAAUUAAAAGUCGAGAGAAGUGUUGAAAACACCCCUAAACUUGGCGAGAAUUUAUAAGGGGUUUACGUAUUUCACUCAUGUUACAAAAUCGGGGUGUAUUUAAGUUCAGUUAGUCAAGUAAAGUGAUGUUUUUAAGGCUGUCAAUAGUUCAAAAAUAAAACUAAUAAUUUGCGUGCAGUUUAAAAAUAUUUUUAAUACUUCUCUCUCAAUAUAACGAAUUAGAAGAUUGGGGAAGUUAGUUACGGGAGAGUUUUAGAAAACCAAGAUAAGUGAAAUAGGAUAUAUAUUAGGGCGGAUUUUGGGUAAUUCGGCUCGAGUUAGGUCAAAAGCUUAGAAUGUAUUCAUACUAUCAUCAUCUUCAAUUGGAUAGCUUUUUGGAACCUAACAACUUUUGUGCAAAUUUUGUAUUUGUAUGAAACAUUUGAUAAUUAAUUGAUAAGAAAUACAAUUUAAUUUGAAAAUCCACUAAUAGAGUGUAUUGUUGAUCUAAUAUAAAAAAAAUGAACUUCUUAAGCUUUGCUGCCCUUUUGUCUCUUUUUAUUUUUAAAUUUGAGAUAAAUGUAAAUUCAUAAAUUUUAAAUUCUGAAUACACCGGUAUCGGUGAAUUUCCCCAUGUCUAACAAAGUAGUGGAAACAUGCAAAAGCUUGAUACAAACAAACAAAUAAACAAAUUGAGAGCCAAGAAAUUUGGCAGAACCUUGAAAUUAAAUCAGAACCAAACUACUUGUCUAAGUGAAUUGAAAAAGGAAACAACAACAGCCAAAUUGGGAGCACUGUGUUUGGCAGCAAAGAAACAUAAUUAACAAGAAGAUAUACUCGAAGUAGCAAUACGCGGGAUCGUUUGGUUAGGAAUAAGUUAUCCCAAAAUUAAUUAUUUCAAAUUAGUUAUUCCACCAUGUAUGUGAGAUAACUUAUCCCAUCACGAAAGUAUAAAUAAUGGGAAAAAUAGUCUCAAGACUGCCUACUAGCUCCAACCAAACGCAGGAUAAAAUAAUCCUAUAUAUAUUUUAUUCAUCAGAUUAUUAUACCUAAUACGUCACAUUAAACAGUAUUUUAAACUUUUUUCUAUGUUCAAUUACCACCUCUCAUUGUUGACUUAACACUUAGCAGUAGCACUCUAUCAAUUUGAACAAAAAAAAAAAGAAGCAGAAACAUAUCUGUUAAGAAAUCAACAAAAUAUGUCUAAUCAAAAAUGAAAUAGUAACAUAAAAGUUAGGUGUCCAAAUUUCCCCCUUAAUCCCGACAAGGUGACCCCCUUAAUCUCAAUUUGAAUCAUAAAAUGUAGACUAGGCAAUCUAGUGAUUAAUAAAGACACUUAUGUCGAUGUGUCGCUAUAAGGAACCACCCAAUGGGGAAAUAGUGAGAGUGAACUAGUCUUAUAUAUUCGUUCGAUUCUAAAAUAAUUGUUAUUUUAGAAAUUCAAAGUAAAAUUUAGUACCUUUUUUCAGCUAUUACUUUAUACUCUUAAAUACCUAGUACUUCUUAUUAAUAAAAUGUUCAAUUCUCAAAAAUAUCUCAUAAAUAGAGAUAACUUGUUAGUAUGUAAAUUAUACCUUCUACUUUUUUUUAAAAUGGCGAUAGUGAGCUAAAGUAACUUUUGAUGUAGAAGAAAUAACACAAAUACACAUGGAUUCAAGACAAGACAGAACCAAUAUCAGCAUGAGUUAUUUUAAGAGCAACAACCUUUUUCUUUCUCAUUUAUUUUUGCACUUAACCUUGUACUAUUGAGAACUGAGAAGUUCUAGGUUGAUUAGGGAUAGCAAAAUCAAACCUAAUCCGUCCAAUCCGUUUAGGUUUGGAUGGGUUGUUGAUCCGUCCAUUCAUUAUCUCAACUCAUUUCAAUCCAUUAAAAAUUGGAUUAAUAUGUAAUUCGAAUUGGCUCAUGGCAAAUCUUGUCAAAAUAUUUUUAAAAAACUUUUUUUAAAAAAUUUGAUAUGUUAUAUAUAGUCAUAAUAAAGGAUUUUUUUUUUAUUAGGUACUAAAAUCAUUUAAAAGAACAAAUAAAUUAAUUAGGCUUAUUUAAAAUUGGGUUGAAUUGGGUCUUGACCUCAACAAAUUUGAGUUGAAUUAGGUGAUCUUGAUUCAAUUAUUGUCUUAACCCAUUAUAAUAUAUCCAAAUUUGACCCAAUCCGUCCAAUUACCAUCUUGACUCAAUUAUUGUCUUAUAAUCCAUCCUAAUUGACCUAGACUUGUUUAUUUUUUCUUUGGUUAUGACGAGAAGAAAGGCGAAUCUUACUAGCCUCCUAAGAUUUUGUUAACUUAUAGGUGAGAUUUUUGUCUUUGAAAUUGAUUCUAAAGAAAGAUUAAUAUUAUGUAUAUAUGUAUCCAUUCCAUAAGAAAACAAUUUUAUGUAAAAUGAAAAUAAUAAGGGAAACAUACAAGAUUUCAAUUAUAGCAAUCUAUAACAUAAUAUAAUUAUUUAAAUCGUUGAGGUGAUCGACUAGACAAGAUUAGUGCCAAAAUGCGAAUAAUUUACAUAUCUAAGCUCAUUAUUAUUAGAGAUGGAAUAAUCAAUCAUACUCAUACUCAUACUCAUAGAACAAUUAAGAAAUAAUGGCUACCCCACCCCCCCACCCGCAUCCAAAAAAUAAAAUAAAAAAACUAUCAUGAUUUUGCAAGUUUUAUACUUUAUUAUAUCUUGUUUUCAUUGGAUUAUAACUUUCAAAAUUUUAAACCCAUUGACUUGAUGCAAGACAAAGUGUUUGUUAAAUCCUCUUUUAGAGGUGUGUGAUGGGAAAGAAGAAUUUCAUCCAUACCACUUAUAUAAUGCUAUAAGCCACAAAAUUAGAUCUAUAAUAUUAAGUUCGUGUGUGAUGGGAAAUAAGAAUUUCAUCCAUACCACUUAUAUAAUGCUAUAAGCCACAAAAUUAGAUCUAUAAUAUUAAGUUCUUAAGAUUUUCAUUUUAUCCUUGAAAGUUAUAUAGUCUAUGGCGAAACAUAAAAAAACAUAACUUAGAAGUUUUCACACCUAUAAGGCUAUAACACUAAUCUAUAUUAUCCAAAUUUGAAAUUAAUCUAGAUGCAACAUUUUAUUACCAUGAGUGUUCCUUAUAAAAUCUACCAUCUUGACGACGUCCAAAAUAAAAGCCAUCCUCUUGCACCUUCCAAUAACAUCCAUAGAGAAAAGGGCCAACGUAUCCACAACCUCUAGAUAUCUCUUCAUUAAUAACAUCGAAAAAAUUGCUUUCUCCAUUCCAAUAAUAAAAACAAUAGUACGAUGUAACACCGAUAGAAGUAAACAUAUACUCUUCAGCCGCAUUCAUUGAGUGAGUUCCUAGUUCAUGAUUUUCAUAAUCUUGACAACGAAGGGUCAAAGGUGAAGUACCAUUUGGAAGGGCAUUAACAAUGUUAACUUGAUAACUAGGAAUAUUUGGGUUCAAUUUUGAACUUCUAACUAGUGCAAGGCUAAGUGCAAAUAUGAAUGAGAAGAAGAGACAAUUAUUGUUCUUGAAAUAACUCAUGUUUGAUACUUGAAGAUAUUAUAUUUAAUGUUGAAAAUAUGUAUAUUUGUGCUUGUAUUUAUACAUGAGAAGAAAGGUGAAAAUCUUGCUAAUUAACUUCAUUAAUCUUGACACUCAUUAAUAUUAUAGUGUUAGUUACCAUUGAUUUCGAUGCUAUUAAAUUUAGAAAAAUAAUCUUUUUUUAAUAAGGAAAAUUUCACUGACACUCAAUAUUAUAUUGUAAUUUACCAUUAAUAUCAAUGGUAUUAAGGUUACAAAAAUAUCUUCUUUUUUCUUUUAAUAAUCAAUAGUACUAAAAAAUGGUGUGAAUAUAGCCCGAUCAUGUGAAAGGGAAUAUCCCUAUUUUAAUGCAGCACAUUUAUUGUCUAACAACUACUCGCCGUGUGUAAUAAUAUUUGUUCACUAUUAACUUUGCACACUUCUUAAAAAAUUAUAAAUAAAAGGAUAAUUUUACUAUAUCACCAUUUGAAUAUAAUAAAUACAAUUUCUUGAAAAAUGUAACAGACAAAUGACUAUAAUUAAUGAUGAGGUAAAUUAGGAACCAAGUGUAAAAUUUUAUCCACUAUUGACUUAACACACCCCUUAAGAAACAAUAAAUAAUAGAGGUAAUAUUACCAUAUUGUCCUUUGACUUUAUUAAAUUUAAUGCUUUGAAAUAUGUUAGAUGAUACUAGUAAAUAAUAUUUAAUAACAAAGGUAAAAUGAAUAAUUAUUGUUGGACUGAGUAUAUUUUUCCCUUUGUGAAGCCUUUGUGCUAAAUAUGCAUGUUUGAUACCUGAAGUGAUUAUAUUUAAUGGUGAAGAUAUGUAUAUUAAUUCGUGCUAUAUAUGUAUUUAUCCAUGAGAAGAAAGGUGAAAAUCUUGCUAAUUAACUUCCAUAAUCUUGACACUCAAUAAUAUAUACUAUAGUGUUAUUUACCAUAAAUUCCGAUGCUAUUAAAUUUUUUUUAAAAAUCUUUUUUUAAUAAGGGAAGAUUUCACUGACACUCAAUAUUAUAAUGUUACCAUAGUAUCAAUGGUAUUAAUUUUACAAAAAAAAUACCUUUUUUAAUAGUCAAUAGUAUUAAAACGGUGUAAAAAGAGCUGAUAGCCCGGCCAUAUGAAAGAGAAUAUCCUAUUUUAGUGCAGCAAAAUUAUUGUCCAAAAAUUAUAUAUUUCCCUUUUUUAAGUCUUUUCUUUUUUUGUCUUUCUUAUUUCCAAAAAUAUAUAUAUAACCACAUGAAAAAUAUUAGAAAACAAUUUCUUUAUUUGGUAUGAUAAGUAAUGCUAUAUUCAAAUUAGGAGAAGUGUUUAUUAAAUAUAAUAUGAGAGUAAUCACUUAUCUAAGAACUAGUAUCAAUUUACAAUUUACGCAGAAUAACCUGAAUUUCAAAGCAUCAUUUGUUGAUGGCAUGCAUUGGAACAACAUCUGGUUGAUUAUUGAAAGUCUUUUAAUAAAUAAAAAUUAUCAUAAUUCAGGCUCAACCAACAUAAUUAUCAAUUAUUAAAUCGUUCAAAACGUGCUUAUCUUUUCUUGUGUCAUACGUAGUUUUGAUGAUAUUAGAUUCAACCAUAUAUAAUUGGUACGUAUCUUUUGUGUGUCAUAAGUACAAAUUAUAUAAUAGUUGAACCUAGUAUCAUAAAGACUAUUUUUAAGAACAUGUUUAAUUUUUGUCCAAAUCAUUUGGUCAAAAGCUUAUUUAGAACUAACUAUCAUUUUUCGUACUUACUUUGUAUUUUACCCAUACUUAUUGUGUAUUGUGUAAUAUUUUUAUAAAGUAUAUUGUUUUUAAGUUAACAACAAGAAUUUGAUAGAAAUAAUGUUAUUAGGGUUAUUUCAAGUUAGUAAGUUAGCCAUUUAUAUCUAAUACAUUACCUUGGAUCUCGUUGCAUAAGAAAUUUUAUCUAAUAAUAUGAAUAUUUGAGUACUUUAAUUCAUGGUUUAAAAUAUUUUUACCAUUGAAAAAAAGACAAUCUUAUUUUCCUUAUAUAUUUAUAAAGAUUUUGCACUCUUUUUUCCUGCAAAUUUCAAUAUUUUUUUAAGUAAAAAUAAAUUGAUAAUCCAAUAUUACAAAAUUUUUAGGACCCCGAAAUAUUUUUUAGGUUUAAACCAAAAGCUUUACUAGCCUCCAUUUUGAUUCGUACUUGUGUCACAUAAUUUAAUUUGAUGUCAUCGUAUAUAUAAAAGGAAUUAGAGUUUGAAAUUUGAUUCAUAUAACGAUGUUAAAUUAAUUUAUACAACAGAAAAGAUCCAAAAGUAUCCCUAAUAUAUGAAAAAAAUGACAUACAUAAUGUCCUCCAACUUUUAGAUCUAAAAAUAUCCACACCUUUAAUUUUUGACUUAAGAAUACCCCUCAAACAAAUUCUGAAUCAUGGACAAAUUUUGCUCACUAAAAUAGUAUGUGACCUACUAUUAUGAUUUGUCACGUUUUUAAUUCUGAAUUAAAUAAAAUCCACCCAUAGUUUAGUCCUGACAAUAGUUGAUCAAACACUUUCGGUUAAAUUUUUGUAAGAAAAUUUGUGAAUGUUUUCAAAGGUUCAUUACAUAGAUAAUUUAACCACUUAAAAUAUAUCAUCUCCUUCAAUUAUACAGAUUAGCAUCAAUAAGCUGUAAAACCUCGUGUUUUUUGCAAUUGAUAAUUGUGUAUAAAUAAAAGAGAUGACAAAUUUUAUAUGGUUAAUUUAUUUAUGUAAUAAGCACUUGAGAACAAGCACAAAAAUAUUUUCAAAACUUAAAUCUAUAAUGUCUAAUAGGAACUUAGGAUAUUCAAUUGAAACAAGUCAUAGUUUGAAUGUCUAAAUGAAAUUAAUUGAUAUUUAAGGAGUAAUCAAUAUAUUAAACCUUAUUAAAAUAUAGGCUAUGGCCUAUGGAGAUAAAAAUAACUUACAAAACAAAUAUUUAGAGGUUAUAAACUGUAUGAAAAUUAAGAGGUGUGAAUUAUAUGUUUAUCUUUCUUUUUUUCAAUUAUCAAAACUACAUAAAUCCCAAUAUAUAUGAUAAAAAGGUGAAAUAUAAAUAUAUAUAUAUAUCCUACUGUUGAGAUGUGCACAUUUUACAUUUUAGUCCAUUGUCCAUUUUUCUGUUAUUCACUGUAGCAGUUAGUUAUAACUGUUUUCAGCUGUAAUUAGUUAGUAAAAAUGAUUAGGUGUCAAUAAUGAGAAUUUGUUAGUUGUGAGAAUAUUCUAGAAUGAGUGACGUAUGUAUAUAAGGGACAAUCACGUGUAAAGUGUGGUUUGAGAAAACAAAAAUAAUAUCUUCUUCUUCUUCUUAAUUCCUUCUUCUUCAUAGAUUCAUCAAUGGAGGAUUGAGUGAAUGUUGUGCCGUAAUUUAGCUAUUUAUAGAAAAAUCACAUUUUUGAAAUAUUCUAAGUAUAAAAUAUUUUAAUGAAAAAUACUUAGAAAAGAGUCGCCACUUAAUUUUUUAAAGAAAUUAAGAAAACUUACAAUUUUCAAAGAUUUAAACAGAAAAAUCAUUUGAAAAUACCAAAGAGGGUUCAGGGUUCAAUUUACACUUCGAGAAGGGUUUAAGCAUUCGAAGUGACCGCUAACAUGCGGUUGACCUACGACUUGACUUAAAAUAUAUAAAUAUAUUUAUUUUUUUGACUAAUUUUUUAGAAAAGGUGAUUUAACAUAAGAAGAAUAACUUACAAUAUUUGGUCAACUGAAAAAAAAGUUAAAUAAGUGACACAUUUAUUUUAUUUUUAUUUUUAGAGAAAAGGGAUCCAAAAUGAAAUAUUUGACUUGAAAGAUAAGUGAUUAGAAUAUUAAUAAAACUAGAUUAAUUAGAAUUUAAUUAAUUCAUUUUUUUGAAAUAAUAAUUUAAACCAAUUUAAUAAAUUAANNNNNNNNNNNNNNNNNNNNNNNNNNNNNNNNNNNNNNNNNNNNNNNNNNNNNNNNNNNNNNNNNNNNNNNNNNNNNNNNNNNNNNNNNNNNNNNNNNNNNNNNNNNNNNNNNNNNNNNNNNNNNNNNNNNNNNNNNNNNNNNNNNNNNNNNNNNNNNNNNNNNNNNNNNNNNNNNNNNNNNNNNNNNNNNNNNNNNNNNNNNNNNNNNNNNNNNNNNNNNNNNNNNNNNNNNNNNNNNNNNNNNNNNNNNNNNNNNNNNNNNNNNNNNAUUGAAUUUGGGCCUUUCUUGGGCCAAAUUCGCUACUCUUUUUUGGGGUUUAAACAAAACCCGUUUUUGGUAUACAGCUCAUGUAUAUCAGUGUAUAUCGGCAUGUAUAUCAGCUCUCUUCAUGUAUAUCUUGCUCCCGAACACCUGUAUUUUGCCUCAGCCCUGUGUUUUGCGUUUUUGGCCUGUAGAUCGAUGUAUACAUCUUGUAUACGACCCAUUUUUCGGCUCUAAAUAUCUGUGCUUUCUGUUUUCCAGCCCUGUGCUUCUGUUUUAUGUGCCUGGCUGACUCGAAUGAUGAAAAAAAUAAAAAUAAAAAUUGAGCCUUUAUGGCUCAACUCGAGGAUGCUAAGAAGAGAAGUCCACCGUGGACUCGGAAGGGAUUCACAUGCAACAAAAAAUGAUGAUAAGAGUUAGCAUCCAAUAAUAAUAGAACAACAAUUAUACCUAAGACAAAUCACAACAACUCUUAUGGCAAAUGGCUCGAUUGAAUUAAACAGUGCAGAUCUAGGUAAGGAGCACAAAUUCUAAAGAUUCAAGCUAUGCUAAUGAUAAAACAAAUGGUUACUUAAACUAUUGUUAGCGCUUAAUGUCCACAAUAAUACAUAUACUAUCCAACCCAUUUGAUAAACAAAUGCAUGCUACAAAAGACACCAACAGUUAAGGCUAAGAAAGUUAGGGCAACUUUAGUUAAUACUAAAUGCAUAAACAUUAUAAAAUGUCCACAACAAAAUAUACACUAAAUGCAUAUCCAAAUCCCUUAAUAUGCUAAUACUACCACUAAAUUAGUAAGCAUAUAUGCACAGAUAGAAGUGAAAACCAACCAAGCAUUCUGGAAACUUUCGAGUAAGCAUAUAUGCACAAAUAGAAGUGAAAACCAACCAAGCAUUCUGGAAACUUUCACAAUAUAAAAAAUGGGCUAAAACAAGAACUAGCAAUUUUGGGAGGGAAAUUAUAACCAUUGGAUAUCAAAAUAUCUUACAAUUACUCAUGAAAAAAAUUCCUACAACAAGAUAUAGAUUCUAGGGGAAUUUUCAAGCGGAAAUGCUACUGCCUCUAAUGACUUAAACUGAAAUUAAUUACAAACCAAAUUAAAGGCUGAUUUUUAUAUGAAACUCAAGAUGCCAUAUACAUGAAUCAAAAGCAAUAUAUUUUUGUUUAUUUUGUUUAUUUUUUUUAUUUUUUUUUACCAUUAAGCUAAUUUUGAAGAGAAAAGGAUAAAGUGAACCGAGAAAUAUAAUGCAAAGAUCUAUGGCGGUCACUUUCAGAUUCGAAUGGAAAUACGGUACUAAAGGAAGCAACAUGUCGAAAAGAUUUAGACAAAAUGUAAGUUAGGACUCUUUCCGAAUACAUCUAGGCACAUAAGAUGAAUAGAACACCUUCAUGAAUUUGGAAUAAUAUACAUAAGACAUGAAUGCCAAUGAAUGAUUAUAAUGCAGUAAUAUAGUGAAGUCAUCAAUUAUACAUAUAAAAAAAAAGGACUAGUGACUGGAAAUUCAAAAUGAAAACAUGUUCCUUGCUACUUCCAUCCUAUUUUCACAUAUCAUAAGAUCAGCCCGAACUCAAAUAGAACGAAUAUAUAGCUAAUUCAUCAAAUGGAAAGUAAACCAACAUGAUAUAGGAGAAGAGAUGAAGUUACCUCUUUCGGAGCAGCGAGCUGGGACGAAUGAGCUUAAAAGAGGACGACUCCUCACACGAUUUUAGUCUAGGGCAGCCAACCAAGAAAUUCAGACCAACUUCGAACAAAAGACCUUCUUCGAACUUUAGACGUCUGAAAUUUCCCAAGUGUAAAAUUUAUCGUUCAAGAAAAUCUCUGCCCCUAGAAUCGCUGAGCAUAGGGGCUUUUUAUAGGGGAAAUCAGGGCGUUUGGGAGGGAAAACUAAUAGAAAAAUAAUAAUUUGAAAUUCG
rnacentral:lncRNA from 1 species